rnacentral:lncRNA from 1 species
UGGACUUAAACGUGUAAACUAUACGAAAUGGCCACAUAUCAUUCUCAAAACUGAUUUGGAAGAGCUCUUCUUCUAAACAUAAAGCGUUCUUCUUCCCAAUUAUACCCACCAUUUUCAAGACUUUUGAAGCUGAGUUUUGACUUCCAAUUUUCUUUGUUUAGAAGAGGUAAGCGAAUUUUUUGUGUAAAUUCCUUCCUUUGACAUUUUUCUGUUAAGAGUUUUUUAAUUUCUUCCCCAAUUUUUGUCUAUGAAAUCUUAGGGUUAGGAAUGGCAAACAUCAAGUUGAAUUAGUUGUGCAUGGAUGAAAAUUGAUCCAACGCAUGCCGGUGGACGAUGCAAACAUGGGAUUUGUUGCAAACGCGAACUUUUUGGUCAGAUCGGAAUCCCGAAAGAUGAUUUUGGUCUUGUCCUCACUAUGAGGUAUGCUUUCAUGUUCUUAGCCUAUCGAUUAAUUUAAAAAUUAAUGUUGAUUGGGUCGUUAUUGUAUUCUUUAAAUUUUAGGCCAUGCAUUGCAAGUUUUUCAGAUGGAGAGAUAAGGAAAGAGUUGAUGAAAGAUUAAAUUUUAUUCUUACGAGAUUGGUAAACAAAAUCAAAUAGUUAGAAGAAAAUUACGAACGUCUUAAGCUGCAUUUGACAAGCUUGAAGAUUCAAAAUGGAAUGUUAAUUAGAAAGGGAAUAGUAUGAAGGAAAAAAUAGAAGAAACUUGUGUAGAAAAUUUAUUUAGUUUUUUAUGGUUUGUGUAACUAUUGUUUAUGUUACCAGCUUAAUCCAAGUUGGCAACUUGAAGGAAAAUCAAAUGGAGUUUCCAUAGUAGCUGAUUGUUGUAGUAAUAUAAGAUCAUUUUGGUAUUGAUGUCGGAUAGGGUAAGGUAGAUGUGGUUUGGUUGUCUACUUCAUUUUGUAUUGUAAUGAAACAUUAUUUUGAUAUUAUAAUGAAACAUUAUUUUGGUACUGUAUAAUAAUGGAUCAUUAUUGUGGUACCAUGGUAUCAUUUUCUGUGGAAAAAUAUUCUCUUGUUACCGUUUAAGCAAAUGUUGGCAGAAAAACAAGAAGCCUCUUGGCAACAGUUUCAUAACCCGAAUUUCCCACCUACAGGACUCAUGAUGGUGCCUAUUAAUGGGAUCUAGACAAGCCAAACUUAAAUACUUUUUCGUUAAUAACAUAAUCCCUUUUAACAAUUAUCAGCAAUAAUAUAAAAGCAACAUAGUUAAUUAAAUAAGCGGAAGUCUUAAAUUUAAGAAAACUGAAUUGAAAUGCAGAAAAUUCAACAUAAGUCUCUACCCAAGACUGGUGUCACAAUACUCACGAACUACCAAGAGUGCUAAAUACAACGUUUGAAAGAAAAUAUAAACUGUAUGUCAUGAAUACAUGGGAUAACUGACUGAAAUAAAAAAUAAAGGAGACGCCGUGCCCGCGGAUGCCUGCAAAGCUACCUUGGUAUCUCAUGGACUGAAGGCUCUCUCUCAGACUACUGCUGCGCUCCGAAUGCUGCUCUAGUAUCUGCACAUAGGUGCAAAGUGUAGCAUCAGCACAAUUGACCCCAUGUUCUGUUAAGUGUUUGGCAUAAUCCUGGCGAGGUAGUGACUAGGCUAGGACCAGACUACCAAUCAACAUGUGCAGUUCAAUAUAUACAUAUGCGACGGAAUAGAAGUACAGAAAAUAAUCUUUCAAAGAGGGAGGGGAACAUGCUGUGGGAAAGUAACAGUUCAGAAAUAGAAACACCAAAUAAGAAAUGAAACUGUACAACUAGAAUAUCAACAAGAGUAAGAAAUCAACAGUUGCACGGCAUCACCCUUCGUGAUUUUACUCUCGUUCUCACCAAAUCAAUCUUAUAAGGUACAUGACAUCACCCUUUGUGUUUUUACUCACUUUCCUUUCCAUAUAAUCAAUGAAUAUCGGUACGGAAUGGUACAUCGUACGGUAUGGCAUUACCUUUCAUGCUUUACACUCUUUCCUCAUCGUGAAAUUAAUAUAAUAGGCACGUAAUGGUACAUCGUGCAUCACCCUUCGUGCUUUUACACUUUUCCUCGCCCAAAUAACAAUCACAAACAAGGGGACAAGGGAGUAGCAAACAACAAUAGAAAUCCUGGCAAGGGAACACAAGUGAAUAGUUAAAUCCCGGCAAGGGAACAACAUCAAUAACCUUAACAUCCCAGCAAGGGAGAUAAUCAAUAAACAAGAAUAACCCGGCAAGGGUACCAUUUAGAUAUUCUUCCUCUUUCUUUCACUCUCAUUUCAUAAUUCACAUUACCACUUGAGCCAAUGCUUCAAAUGGUACAAUAGUUCAUAUACUUUCUCAGUUAGUAGAAUAACUUGAGCCAAUUCUCCCCGACGUUUGAAAGUCAUAAUCCUUUCCACAAAUGUUUCGCAACACCUAGAAAUCAUCUCUAAGGCAUGAAAUAUAUAACAUGAAUAAAGAUAUUCACAAUUUAUAAACUCACAGUCAUGCUAAACACCUACGUAUAGAUACUCUUCACCAUAUCUAUACGUCGUACUCAACAUAAAACAAGUAGCAAAUAUGACUCAACUCCUAAUCCCUCAAGCUAGAGUUAGACCGGACACUUACCUCAAUGCCUCGAACAUAACUCAAGUCUCAAUUAUAGCUUUACCCCUUGAUUCCACCAAAAAUCCGCUCGAAUCUAGUAAGAAGUUACUUAAUUUCAUCAAUAGACGCUAAACGAAUCAAUUAGAAUGCAUAAAAAUGAAUUUCCUAAAGUUUUGCCCAAAACGUCCAAAAAUGCCCCCAAACCUACGUGGUCAAAACCCGAGGUUUGAACCAAAACCCAAUUACCCUUUCCCCCACGAACCCAUAUAUGUGAUUUGUUUUGAAACCGGACCUCAAAUUGAGGUCCAAAUCCCCUAUUUAUGGAAAACCUAAGUUCUACCCAAAAACCCCCAAUUUCUCCCAUGAAAAUUUUUGAAUUUAGGUUGAAAAUAUGUUAAAGAUUCAAAUAAAUGAGUAAAAACUAACUUACAAUUGAUUUGGAAAAGAAAUGAUUCUUGGAAAAUCGCCUAAAUGUGUUUGAGUUUGAGAACAUAUGAAAAAUGGGGUUCAGAAUUGGUUAAGUGUUAAAAAUGCAGGUUUUAGACGUGGGAAAUACGAACAGGGGUUCGUAAUUGCAAACCCCGACAUGCUAACAUAGGAAAUGAGAGACUGGGUUCACAUUUGCGAACCCUUUAGGAUUUCGGGACCUUCGCAUUUGCGAAGUGAAGGCUGCAUUUGCGACAGGACGGACAUUGCAUUUGCGAAGAUGUGCUGGCCUGGGCUUACUUCGCAAUUGUGAAUGGCCACUCGCAUUAUGCGAAGCCUACAAACCUGCUAUGCUCAGCUGCAAAUUUUUGCUACAUUCUAAGUUCCAAAUGCACUCGUGGCCUAUCCAAAACUCACCCGAGCCCUCGGGGCUCCAAACCAAACAUGCACACAACCUCAAAAAUAUCAUACGGACUUAUUCGUGUGAUCAAAUUACCAAAAUGACAUCAUAUACAUCACAUUAAGCCUCAAAAUUCAUGAAUUCUUCUAAAUUUCAUAAAAUAUCGAAUUUUCCAUUUUAAGUCUAAGACACGUCAAACGACGUCCGUUUUUAACCAACCUUUACAAAAAGUUCUUAAAUUAUAUAUAUGACAUGUACUAGGCAGGGCUAUCAUUUUCUAGUCAGAUUUCAUUUUCAAUUUCCUUAACUGUUUUUCAAAAAAUAAUUUUACUCAAAAAUUCAUUUCUCGGGAUUAGAACCUCGGAAUUUGAUUUCGGGCAUAUACUCAAGUCCCAUAUUUUCCUACGGACUCUCCAGAAUCGUAAAAUCACGAGUUAGGGUCCAUUUAUCCAAAAUAUUGACCGGAGUCAAAAUUAUUUAUUUUAACAUUAAAAUUUAGUAUUUUUCAUAGAAUUUCAUAUUUAAGCUUAUCGGUUGCGCAUCCAGACUAGCACGUAAAUUGAGGCAAUUAUAAAUAAGGUUUUUAAGACCUCAAAGACACAGAAUUUAAUUAGAAACAGGUGAUGAACCUUUGGGUCGUCACAAACAGCAGGUUAGCACAUUGUCCACGACUUUAGAAUAUCCAAACUAAUUGCAUGGGAAGAAAACUAUUAUAAUUUCCAACAAAUUACUUCAAUGGUACAUUUGAAUACCAAUAAUCUAAUAACAAAACAAAUGUUUCCAACAUAACACUUUGAGUACCAUUUCAUACACUACACUCAACACAAAAAUGGUACAUUUGAAUAUCAAUACUCCACAAUUCUAACAACACUUCAAAAAUUCCAUCAACUUCAUAACAACAAAACACCAUUCUAGGUAAAACUAAAAAUAAUAGGGCCAUAUCAACACUAUAAUUUCCAUUUUUGGGGCUGUGAAUCAGCAUUCCUUGAUUUAUCUCUAAUUUCUUGAAGUCUUCUUGUUGUAAUUGCUUGUUUUCCUUUCCACUUCAGUCCAUUAGUUGGUUUGAAACCAAUAUCACCAGUAAUAUCAGCUGAUCUUGUUAUCGCUGUUGAUGAUCUAGUGGAUAUUAUUCUGCUAGCCCAGGCUAUACAAAAAAUAGUUUAAUUAGUUUAAGGUACAUUUAGAUAAUAGCAGAACUGAUUGCAUUAAUACUUACAUUAAUAGUUUUGAAGCCAUUCUCAGAUGGAACACACCAUUCUCAUCAGUCUUGGCCUUUUAUAUAGUGUUGAGCUCCCAACACCCCUUCCCCUUCCUUUGGUAGCAGUAGAUGAACUAGGUGCAACAGAUACGAUAUCAGAUGCAUUUAGAGUUGAACAUGAAAACCAACUUUCAAGUGAAUGAUGUAUUGUUGCUCUUCCUUCCCCUCCUCCCCUUCCUCUUCUUCUUCUUCUCCUGCCUUCAGUGAAUUGUUGAUGAAAUUCCAAUAGUAGCAAAAGUAUUAGUUGUUGUAUUAUGAGCUUAAGAACUAGGAGCAGAGCACGUAAACCAACUGUCAAGUGAAGAAGUUGAUGAAAAUUCAGCACCAACAUAUGCAGUAGGUGUAGUAUUAGGUGCAUUAACGACAGAUACAUUAGUUUAUUUUCCUUGGUCUACAUCUUCAUCUUUUUACCGUAGGUUCACCUUCAUUAGUAGCUGAUUUAUGAAGAGAAAAAAAACAUGUUAAAUAGUGAACUAAAUUUAAAAGAUAUUGAUACAAAAUAGAAUAUUACCUUUGGUCUUCCUCUUCCCUUUCCUGAAACUGAUUGUUUUACAGCAGUUGUUGAUGAACUAGCACCAAGUCUAUCACUAUCUGGACACCCUCUUUUGUUGUGACCCCUCUCAUGACAGGGGCUACAUGUUAUUGCUAUACUAGUUUUAGGAAAUUUACCAGAGUUCUUAGUUUUAUUUGCCUCUUUCCUUCUAAGCUUUUUUUGUCUUCCAGGCAUGCCCUUGACAACUGGUAGUGCAAAAAAAGAUUGGUAUAUUCAGGCCACAUUGACAUAUACUCACUGGUUGAUUGAAAUUAGAAUAAGUUAACAAGUAUAUCUCCUUUUUGUAGCAACUAUCAAUGAAGUCAGUUGGUUCAACAUUGUCAUAAUACAUUGCACAUAUGGCAUAUGGACAUGGUAUCCCCCUUUAGCAUUCAAGAUCUGUAACAACAAAGCUUAUUUCUAAGACAUGUUUACCAUCACUUACUUCAUAUCAUGUUUGUCCAUUAAACUUAAUGGUACAUCUCAUUAAUUUUUCAAUAUUGUCCCCCAAUAUCUUUAAGGCCAUUGGAGAGAUGUUGGUGCUUCAUGUGUUUGCAAAUGCCCUUAACUUUCCUAUUCUGGUCAUCAUCUUGAUUCUAAUCUCUUCAAGCAUGCUAAUAAUAGGCUUUUGCCUUGCUGCCAAGAUCCAGGCAUUAGAACUCUCUAACAUGCUUCAUCCACUGCAUCACACUUCAAUUCACAGUUAAAUUACACCUUGCACCAAUACUCCUUGUUAUAAUAUAGUAGAUUAUCCAUUUUGUUCUUACCAAGCAUUAACGG